rnacentral:rRNA from 1 species
AGUGGCGGACGGGUGAGUAACGCGUGAGUAACCUGCCUUUCAGAGGGGGAUAACGUUUGGAAACGAACGCUAAUACCGCAUAACAUAUCGUUGUCGCAUGGCAGUGAUAUCAAAGGAGCAAUCCGCUGAAAGAUGGACUCGCGUCUGAUUAGAUAGUUGGCGGGGUAACGGCCCACCAAGUCGACGAUCAGUAGCCGGACUGAGAGGUUGAACGGCCACAUUGGGACUGAGACACGGCCCAGACUCCUACGGGAGGCAGCAGUGAGGGAUAUUGCACAAUGGGCGCAAGCCUGAUGCAGCCAACGCCGCGUGAAGGAUGAACGGUUUUCGGAUUGUAAACUUCUGUUCUUAGUGAUGAUAAUGACAUUAGCUAAGGAGAAAGCCACGGCUAACUACGUGCCAGCAGCGGC